rnacentral:rRNA from 1 species
GACAGAGGGUGCAAACGUUGUUCGGAAUUACUGGGCGUAAAGCGCGUGUAGGCUGCUUCGCAAGUCGGAUGUGAAAGCCAUGGGCUCAACCCAGGAAGUGCAUUCGAAACUGCAGAGCUGGAGUCCUGGAGAGGAAGGCGGAAUUCUCGGUGUAGAGGUGAAAUUCGUAGAUAUCGAGAGGAACACCGGUGGCGAAGGCGGCCUUCUGGACAGUGACUGACGCUGAGACGCGAAAGCGUGGGGAGCAAACAGG